UACAGCUCCCGAAAUGAUGUUUCCUCUCCAAACAAUGUCACUUUUGGAUUAAAAGGGAUGUUUAACCUCUUUUGGGAAUGGAAACCUUUUAGUUCAGAUUGCUCAAUAAGUUAUGUUAAAGAGAUGAAGUCA